AUGUCUCUCCUGCCGCAUGCCACGGUGUUCCUGUUCAUCUUCCUAGUGGCCUCACCGUCUCAGGUUCAUGCUCGGGUUGCUCCGGAUGAUCGGCACGCGCAUGGCGGCCAAGGCGAUGCUCCGGUGACGCUGACGCCAGCUUAUGCACCAGGGAACGACGGCGCUGGUCGUGGCCGGACGCUUUGGUCGACGCCGAGCGAUGGUGUUGGCCAUUAG
rnacentral:rRNA from 1 species